AUUCCAACAACCCAAAUUGAAUCGAAACACUCCUCUCGGGAACAUUCAUUAAUGUUAAUUAAUGACGGGGAUAUUUAGUUGAUGGAUUUCACUGUGCAAAUUCAUCGACCUGAGCUUUUCAAGUGUGGCGGUUUUGAAUGAGAUAUUACUUAAAGCUAUGUGUUAAAAAUAUGAUAAAAACAUGUACUAUAUUUGUUAAGGGGCGGCACUGCUGUUCCUGUGUGUACGAUAACAGAGAGCGAACGGUGGGAGACUGAGGGAAGCUUUAAAAUAUUCACUUAUGAAUUCCCGGGUGCUCAGCCGGUCCAAAAAUAAUCCAAAGCAAAGACAAAUGAGUUUCCCUGCAUCGUCCUCCCGGUCUGCCUUAACCCAACCCACGGCAAGUGUUAGCUCGCGCUGCCGUGAGCCGGCGGUCUACGGGGAUGCGCGCCGCUGCCGUUUGAUCCUCUCUUUGCUUAACUCAACAACGCUGAGCGCGUGUGCACUGCAGCAGACCGCAGGCCGGCUGCCUGGCUGCUGCGUGUCUCUACGCACAAGAGGUUUAUAGAAGCAAGGCCGCCUGCGGAACACCCCGAGGUAAACGCACUCUUUGUGCUUCUCCUCAGACGCCUUUAACCCCCUCCAACUAACUCUUUCAUAGACGUGUGUGUGUGUGACUCGCAAAUGAAAAGAAAAAGCCCUACCUUUGCACAAACGCUCUCGCUCUGAAGUUAACCGUUCGAAUCUUAAAAGGGACACACACACACACACACACACACACAUGCACGCUCUGAUAAAAGCUCGGUGCAGCAAAAUAACCGUUAGGGAGUUCAUUCCAAUUCUGCUGACAGCAGAUAGGCUUCAGCGUUCUCUCUCUCUCUAUCCAGCAGUAAUUACUUAUAAGGCCACAGGGAUUAUGACGUCCCCGAGUCCCCUCUGCAAUAGAGCCGGUGCUCCAUACAGCCUCGUUCACCGAGUACGGUUCUUCUAUCACCCCCAGUCCUCAUUAAGCCGUCCCUCCCUCUCGUUAUUCCCCCCCCCUCCCUGUGUAAUAUCCUCCAUCCAUUAACUCGGCCCGGUCCUCCACCCGUCCUUUUCCCCCGUCCUCGCGCUUCCUCCUCCUUUUGCGAUCUUCUCCAGCUGCCACGCUGGAUCAGCGCUCUCUUAAUUUGACUUGUACGGCGCCGUCGGCGAGGGGGGGGAGAGGAGCCACGACGCCGGGAACAUACGAGUGCACAUACAUUGUCCUUGUGUAAGACGGCGUGUUCCUCUGCGUGUCCUCGGAUACCUCGGCCUGUGCUGUCCCCCCCCAUCCAAGGUUGGCUGUCUUUCUGUGUAGAUACAGGAAAUUCAUCUAUUUCCCGCUUGGUCACCAUGGCUCCUGAGGCGGCCGCUUGCAGAUGUGCCCACUGAGGUGUGUGUGUGUGUGUGUGUGUGUGUGUGUGUGGUGCAGAAGCCCGUUGCCCAGUAGAACCAUGAGGCGCUCGAUCUUUUCCCUGGUGCUGGGUUUACGCCACACAAUUCAAAACCUGGCCUUGAAAUGGCCGACGGCAUUCGGGAUAUCAGCUGUGAAAAGGCUCAUAUCAGAGAUCGAAUCAGCACUCGCUCCCGUGAGCUGAGAUAUGUAGCGUGAUUAAUAACCUGUCCCCAACGUCCAAAUGCGCUCCGACCGCCGGCGGCAGCAGUAACGACCGUAAAGCUCAAUAUAUAUAUUUAAGUGGCCUGAACAAUGCAAGUUACAGUAUCGUUAAAGGUAAAUGUAAGUCACUUCUGGCAGGUCACUGUGUUAGUUUUUAUUAUUACGUUCCUAUGCGACUGAUGCAUGUGAGCAAUGAUUUUGUGGAUAAAGGAGAGCCACAGACCGCACGUCUUUUAAAUGAGAAUACCAAACAUCGCCAGGGCGUCGGUCAGCGGUGACGACGUGGCGUGGUUUGUUUAAAAGGCCUGUUCAUUGGUGAAGGUUACCUAGCUGAACAGAAAGCGCAGGUAUCGUGAGCGCCUGUUUGCCUUAAAGCUGAUGUCGUGCUUUAAUCCUAAAUCCAAAGGAAAAAAUUCCGUCGGCGUGUCGUUGAGGGAACCAGCACCAACGCCAACCUCCGGCUCGUCCUCCAAAAAUACACCAAGCAGAAAUGCGCAAAGCCCUCUAUUUUCUUUCCUCUCUUCACAGCCGAGUUGCCACGGUGACGAGCUUGCCCACUUUUUACAGCAUCUGUGAGCCCAACACACACACACACACACACACACUUAAGCGCGGAUGCAAAAAGACGCGGAUCGGCACGCAAGGGCGGCGGCAGCCACUCGGGCAAGUUUACUUUUCCCUUUUUAAAUGCAGACGCGAGGGACGCCGGUCCACUGGUGAGGAUUCGUCACCGAUAACACACGGGUCGCUCCUCGCACGCACGCGUCCAACGGGGGAGAUAAGAUUAGCAAAGAGGGCAGCCGGUGGCCAACUGGCUCCUCAGCGGCCUCAGCCAACAAUCAGCCACGACUUAUUUCCGACACGCCGCUGUCUCACGGCGGCCAGCUUCGGCCGGCUAAUUUACUUCAUCAGUACCAAUGCAAGCGCAGGAACAGCUGGGCCGGCGCGUUUAGACAUUCAAAUCCGCUGUAAAAUAUGCAAAUGGUGGCUUUGGCGGCGAGCCGGGCCGCCGCAAGGCGGGAGCUGCGGGUGGUUCCCCUGCUACAUUCUGAGGCUGCUCUGUCCCCCCUGUCACAGAAUCCGCCUGCUGGUGCUGAUUUAUCAGAGAUCCUCCCACGUCCACGCUGAGUGACGUCCUUAAAGUGCUCAACGGGCCUAAACCGCUGCUUGAGUGAACCAGGUGCAUUCAAAUAAUAUUCACAUGUAUAUUAGAAUUCAGCCAGAAAGCUCCAGUGACGGACUUCUGCGUCUCCUUUUUAAUGCGAAAGGCAAAGACCUUUCCUCUUCUUUAGCGGCGAUGCUAUCAGUGUUAAAACAGGCCAAGCUGGGAACCGUCAGACAGAGCUCAGGUACAUUCUUUGGCACUCACACACACACACACACACACAUCCACAUACGUGCACACACUCGCACACGCUCGACACAUUUUGGCACGUUCCACGGUGCACCGAGGUCGGCUCCGGGCGGCUGCACAGAUGCACCGUUUGAAUACUGCAGGCUAAUCGGGCGAAUCGAUAAAUGUUGAGAGGGUGAGCCCACCCAAGCAAUGGAAACAGGUCGCCGCGCUGAGAAUAACUCCGUCUGCGCCCCAAAUCACAGGCCAACCUGUAGGACGGACUUGAAAGGGGCCCCCAAGAGGAAAGGGGGUUGUUGUGCUGCUUCGCUCGGGGUAAACGG
ensembl:lncRNA